ACCGCACCAGGCCUCCUCUUCUAUCUUUUAACGUGGCUUUUAGAAACUUUUAAAAUUACAUAGAUGGUCUGCAUUUUGUUAGUGUUGGACACUGGCAGCCCUCCGUCUCCCUCACUGCCUGGAAUCUGCUGCUCUCCUUUUCCCCAGGUGCCUGCCCUCUCCAUUCCUCCUCACUUUCCUCCGCUGGGAAUCGGCACCGCCACUGAUUUUAAAGUUGAAACUUGGCAGGCAAAAGGGAGGUACUCCCAUGUUAAAUGUAUACACAUUGACUGCAAUAGUAUCCUGACUUUUGAAAUGGUAAAACGUAGAGUAAGUUGCUUUUGUA
rnacentral:lncRNA from 10 species